AUACGUAGGGGGCGAGCGUUGUCCGGAAUGAUUGGGCGUAAAGGGCGCGUAGGCGGCCCGGUAAGUCUGGAGUGAAAGUCCUGCUUUUAAGGUGGGAAUUGCUUUGGAUACUGUCGGGCUUGAGUGCAGGAGAGGUAAGUGGAAUUCCCAGUGUAGCGGUGAAAUGCGUAGAGAUUGGGAGGAACACCAGUGGCGAAGGCGACUUACUGGACUGAAACUGACGCUGAGGCGCGAAAGUGUGGGGAGCAAACAGGAUUAGAUACCCUGGUAGUCCACACUGUAAACGAUGAAUGCUAGGUGUAGGGGGUAUCGACCCCUUCUGUGCCGCAGUUAACACAAUAAGCAUUCCGCCUGGGGAGUACGGCCGCAAGGUUGAAACUCAAAGGAAUUGACGGGG
rnacentral:rRNA from 1 species